GUGAACGCUGGCGGUAGGCCUAACCCCUGCAAGUCGAACGGCAGCACAGUAAGAGCUUGCUCUUACGGGUGGCGAGUGGCGGGCGGGUGAGGAAUACAUCGGAAUCUACUUUUUCGUGGGGGAUAACGUAGGGAAACUUACGCUAAUACCGCAUACGACCUACGGGUGAAAGCAGGGGAUCUUCGGACCUUGCGCGAUUGAAUGAGCCGAUGUCGGAUUAGCUAGUUGGCGGGGUAAAGGCCCACCAAGGCGACGAUCCGUAGCUGGUCUGAGAGGAUGAUCAGCCACACUGGAACUGAGACACGGUCCAGACUCCUACGGGAGGCAGCAGUGGGGAAUAUUGGACAAUGGGCGCAAGCCUGAUCCAGCCAUACCGCGUGGGUGAAGAAGGCCUUCGGGUUGUAAAGCCCUUUUGUUGGGAAAGAAAAGCAGCAGGUUAAUACCCCGCUGUUCUGACGGUACCCAAAGAAUAAGCACCGGCUAACUUCGUG
rnacentral:rRNA from 1 species